rnacentral:tRNA from 1 species
CAAAAUAUAAUUUAUAAAAAAUAUUAAUUUUGGAGAUUAAAAAAAUUUAGAAUUAAAUUAUUUUGA